ACACCAGACUCCUACGGGAGGCAGCAGUGGGGAAUAUUGCACAAUGGGGGAAACCUUGAUGCAGCAACGCCGCGUGAAGGAAGAAGGCUUUCGGGUUGUAAACUUCUUUUGUCAGGGACGAAGCAAGUGACGGUACCUGACGAAUAAGCCACGGCUAACUACGUGCCAGCAGCCGCGGUAAUACGUAGGUGGCAAGCGUUAUCCGGAUUUACUGGGUGUAAAGGGCGUGUAGGCGGGACUGCAAGUCAGAUGUGAAACCCAUGGGCUCAACCCAUGGCCUGCAUUUGAAACUGUAGUUCUUGAGUGAUGGAGAGGCAGGCGGAAUUCCGUGUGUAGCGGUGAAAUGCGUAGAUAUACGGAGGAACACCAGUGGCGAAGGCGGCCUGCUGGACAUUAACUGACGCUGAGGCGCGAAAGCGUGGGGAGCAAACAGGAUUAGAUACCCCUGUA
rnacentral:rRNA from 1 species